rnacentral:rRNA from 1 species
UACGAAGGGGGCUAGCGUUGCUCGGAAUCACUGGGCGUAAAGGGUGCGUAGGCGGGUCUUUAAGUCAGAGGUGAAAUCCUGGAGCUCAACUCCAGAACUGCCUUUGAUACUGAGGAUCUUGAGUACGGGAGAGGUGAGUGGAACUGCGAGUGUAGAGGUGAAAAUUCGUAGAUAUUCGGAAGAACACCAGUGGCGAAGGCGGCUCACUGGACUGUAUUGACGCUGAGGUGCGAAAGCGUGGGGAGCAAACAGG